GUUUUCAACAGUUUUACGAAAUGAAACUAUUGUUAAUACUUAUUUGUGUGCUAUUGGCGUUGUUCCAGGUAUCUUCUGGUGCACUAGCAGGCGGAGACCGGAAUAAUACGGAAGAUAAUAAACCGAUUAUUGGAAAACGACAGGCACCUGAACCAGUAGACGUAGCCUCUCCAUGAAUCAAGGGAUAAUGAUAUACUGAUGGUGAUGUGUAUAGUACAGGACACAUCAAAAUGUUGCAUAAAUUGGACAUGCUAUUCAACAUAUCUAACAGAUCAAUAAAAUAAAAUCUGAAUAAAACAAACAGAGAGUGUCAGUAUA